rnacentral:rRNA from 1 species
GAUCCUGGCUCAGGAUGAACGCUAGCUACAGGCUUAACACAUGCAAGUCGAGGGGCAGCAUCAUCAAAGCUUGCUUUGAUGGAUGGCGACCGGCGCACGGGUGAGUAACACGUAUCCAACCUGCCGACAACACUGGGAUAGCCUUUCGAAGAAAGAUUAAUACCGGAUGGCAUAGUCUUCCCGCAUGGGAUGAUUAUUAAAGAAAUUACGGUUGUCGAUGGGGAGUGCGUU